CGGCAGGGGGCGCGCGCUCCCCGAACUCCCGCGCACCGCGGAGGAGGCGGCCCUGGCGCGGGGAAGCAGUGGGAAAAUCGCAAGGAAGCCGGCGCUGCUCUGAAGGGAGAGUCUGUGCAGUGGCACCUGCGCGAAGCUGGCCAAAGCCUGCCCAGACGGCUCACCUGUGCGGGAUGGAACAAAAGGGGUAUGGCACUGUCAGCGGAAGACUGUCAGAUCUCUGCAGCAUGACCCUCAUCCUUGUUCCCAACCUUUUCUGUCAGUCACUGUCUGCCUCCCUUUCUUUGGUUGGCUGCCCAUCAAUGACCUAUUAUCAUCAUUGCCAUAGAUCCCUGAGAAGCACUCCCCCUCCCACAGUUGCCAUUCCAAUCUUGCUACACAGUAUAAGAGCCCUCUUGGCUUCUGAGGGUUAAAUGUUGCCAUCCAGAAUGGUUAAAUGCCAUUCCAGAAUCGUGUCAUCCCCAAGACACUAAGGAGCCAAGUUCCAUGGCAGCAUCUCCUAGCCACAGAGCACAGCCACCACCAGCUUUCUAUGACACCAGUGCCCCCUCACGUCCACAUUCUGCAUUGCCUUAGUGAAGAGCGCCUCCUCUGGGCAGCUCCAUGAAACACCUUCUGGUCUCAUGUAAUAAAUCCGUUCUAACAUUCCCACUUCCCUGAGCCUUCAUCUCUACCUCAUUAAUGGUAGGCCACUAUGGUGUCCAAGCUUCCGGGAGCCGUCUGGCGUGAAGACAAGCUCCAGCUGUCCUUUGACAGGACUUUAAAUCCUGAGUCUUGGGGCAUGCACCCUUGUCAAUCAAUGCCCCACCGGUCUUCUAUUGCCCCCUCCCCGCCUGGAUCUGGUACCCCACCUGGAUCUGGUACCCUCAUGAUCGCUCCCGCAAGUGUUCUCCCAGGUCCUGCAACUUUUUGGGUGACUGAGUGAUUUCCUCCUAGGGUAGGAAAUAUUUCACUGCUUGGGCUAUGCUGAGAUGUGAUCCUGCUUGUUGGUCUGGAGGCAAUGAGAGGAGGUGGAUCUUGAGGAGGAUUAGUGUUAUCUUACAGGGUACUCACCUGUAACGGGGAGAUCUCUGCACUGUCUCCAGGCUAGAUGAAGCUGUCCUCCUCUGUCAAUGGGAAGAAGGCAGUUUCUGCUGGCCAGGAUGCUUCAGGGGACUCUGGGGGCUCAAGGUUCUUUGGUACAUCCACCCAAACAUCCCACGUCAGGCCUAGAGUCCCAUUUAUUCCUUUAAAAGCACCCAAUGGGCCGGUUACUGUGGCUCAUGUCUGUAAUCCCAGAAGUUUGUGAGGCCAUGGCAGGUGGAUCAGUUGAGGCCAGGAGUUCGAAACCAGCCUGAGGAACAUAGCAAGAUCCCCGUCUCUACAAAAAUAAAAAUAAUAGAAGCCCCCACUUUAGUACAGGAGACCUGCUGAGGAUGCACAAGUGUCUUUUGCAGCUCUGCUGCUCUUGUGAUGAAAUAUUGGUUCUCAUUUUCAGCAUGCUCUGCCUCCUGGCCACGGAAGCAAGGUUUUCUUUACAUGUUGUCUUGGGAGAGUUCCUGCCUUUCACAGCAUACUCUGAGUAGAUAGCAGGCUGAACUGCAUCUUUCAUUCUCUUGCUUCAAAGCUGCUAAGGUGAUUUAGAAAAGCUAGCCACCUCCAUAAUCCUUGCAACAGCAGCUGCUUCCACAUCUUUCAAGUGACAAAGCUACUGCAUAAGCCAAGCUUUCUCUUCAACUUCUAUCUCCUUAUCUACCACAGGUAAGAGUCUCAUGCUUCAGGACACAAGGUUAUCACCAACUGUGUGUGUGUGUGUGUGUGUGUCUUUGUUGCCUUCCGAAUGGUAAGUGAUCUACUUUUAGAUUCCUAUCGCUAGGUCUGUCUUCUAGUGCUACCUCUAUUACUCAUUGCCUUAGCUUGAAUCCUCACAAAAACAGAGCUUGAUCCUGGAACUUCGGCAUAGUUAACUUGGGACAUUCCAGGAAACUGUAAUCCAUGUAAUUCCAUGCCUAUAAUCCCAGCACUCUGGGGGCCAAGGUGGGUGAAUCAGUUGAGGCCAGGAGUUUGAGACCAGCCUGGUCAACAUGGGGAGAGAGAUUGGGAAGAGUGACCCAGGGUACAGAACCAUGAGCCACAGCUGCAGCUUCAGUCAGAGCAGGGCUGACCAGAUAUAACCAGAAGUCCCAACAGCAUCCUGGACACCUCUCCUGCCUCCUAAGGGUGCAGAAAUCUGUGACAAUGGCUAAGCAGUAUCUGCUCCUCUGGAUUCAGGUGCCUAUCUCUUGUGGAGCUUUGUUCAUUCUAGAAGUACUUGGAGAGGUCCAAGCAUCGUGCCUCACGCCUGUAAUCCCAGCACUUUGGUGGCCAAGGUGGGCGGAUCAGUUGAGGUCAGGAGUUUGAGACCAGCCCGGUCAACAUGGCAAAACCCCACCUCUGCUAAAAACACAAAAAUUAGCCAAUCGUGGUCGUGCAGACCUGUAAUCCUAGCUACUUGGGAGGCUGAGGUAGGAGAAUCACUUGAACUCGGGAGGCAGAGGUUGCAGUAAGCCGAGAUUGCGCCACUGCACUCCAGCUUGGGCAACAGAGUGAGACUACGUCUCAAAGAAAAAAUAGGCUGGGCGCGGUGGCUCACGCCGGUAAUCCCAGCACUUUGGGAGGCUGAGACGGGUGGAUUAUGAGGUCAGGAGUUCGAGACCAGCCUGACCAAUAUGGUGAAACCCCGUCUCUACUAAAAAUACAAAAAUUAGUCCAGCAUGGUAGUGUGUGCCUGCAGUCCCAGAUACUUGGGAGGCUGAGGCAGGAGAAUAGCUUGAACCUGGGAGGCGAAGGUUGGAGUGAGCUGAAAUUGUGCCACUGCACUCCAGCCUGGGCGACAAAGUGAGACUCCAUCUCAAAAUAAAUAAAAAAAUAAAAAUAAAAAUAGCAAUACAACUAUUUGGAGAGGGCCAAAUAAGUGGGGAGCACUUCUCCACACUGAGAUACAGGCGGGAACAGAACAACAAACCCCAUAGAGCUUAUGUUUUAGUUGGAGGAGACUAAGAAUAAAUACAAUAUGUAGUAGGUCAAGUGUUAAUGGGUGCUAGAAACAAGAAGUGGGGGCCAGGCACGGUGGCUCACACCUGUAAUCCCAGUACUCUGGGAGGUCGAGGUGGGUGGAUCACCUGAGAUAAGGGGUUCAAAACCAGCCUGGCCAACAUGGUGAAACCCCAUCUCUACCAAAAAUACAAAAAUCAGCUGGGCAUGGUGGCGGACACCUGUAAUCCCAGCUAGUCAGGAGGCUGAGGCAGGAGAAUUGCUGCAAUCCAGGAGGCAGAAGUUGCAGUGAGCUGAGAUCAUGCCACUGCAUUCCAGCCUGGGUGACAGAGUGAGACUGCAUCUCAAAAAAAA
rnacentral:lncRNA from 10 species